rnacentral:ncRNA from 1 species
AUAAAAUCAAAGAACAAAAGGAGUACCUUUAUGGCACUGCUUUACAGAGAGUCGGUGAUGGUGAGAUUCCGGCAGGUAAGUAUAAAGGGAAUGGAUUUGUGAGAUGCAAAGCGAACACAGGUGGCUGUAAGUAGCGGAUGCCGUGUCCUCACGUUACAGGGGAAAGAUAUCGAAGAGAUUCCGUAUCGGAUUGAGGUUGUGCAGAGCACAAUGAAUAAAGGGUGGCACCACGAAACGUAUAUUCGUCCCUGGC